AUGGGUUCUCUCAUGUGCUGUUUCCAACAGGCAACCAGUCCAGAUUGGAGCGGGAAGGUGGAGGACUCCAGCAGGGAGGGAGCUGGAGAAUAUGGACUCAAGAAAUUUGAUCUCCUGGAGAAUUUAGAAAAAGUUAAAGAGGUAAUGAAAGCCUUGUUCCCUUCUGAAAAACCAUUGUCUUUCAUUUCUAAAAAAUUGCUUCAAAAUCUUUUCCUGAUGAAUCUACACUACCAUUUUCUCCUCUUCUCUGUAUCCAUUCAAGGAAGUGCUCAGGAGAUGGAUCUCUCAGAAGAGCCUACCUACUCAGAACUUGGAGGUGUCACCAGGCGCAGUGGCUCAUGCUUGUAAUCCCAGCACUUUGGGAGACAGAGGUGGGUGGAUUGUUUGAGCUCAGGAGCUUGACACCAGCCUGAGCAACAUGGUGAAACCCCGUGUCUACCAAAAAUACAAUAAUUAGCCAGGCAUGGUGGCCUGCAUCUGUAGUCCCAGCUACUCUGGAGGCUGAAGUAGGAGGAUCGCUGGAGCCUGGGAAGUUGAGGCUGCAGUGAGCCAUGAUUGCACCUCUGCAUUCCAGUCUGGGUGACAGAGCAAGACCCCUGUCUCAAAAAAGAAGAAAAAGGA
rnacentral:lncRNA from 1 species